rnacentral:lncRNA from 1 species
CCUUGAAGUACAAUGGAGUCUGAAACACUUCUGUACAUCUUUUUAAAAGGAAUUUAGUGGACACUAAAGAUGAGAAAAGAGGAAGCCAUCUAAUCAUCACCUAUGAUGUCUCCUUCCUGCUCAGAAAUGACAGACUAGACAUUCUCACUUAUGAGGUACACAGUGUCAACCACUGAGAGAACCUAAAUAUGGACAUUCCUGGCUGGGCACAGGGGCUUACGCCUGUAAUCCCAGCAUUUUGGGAGGCCGAGGUGGGCAGAUCACUUGAGGUAAGGAGUUUGAGACCAGCCUGGCCAACACAGUAAAACCCCGUCUCUACCAAAAAUACAAAAA